AUUGAACGCUGGCGGCAUGCCUUACACAUGCAAGUCGAACGGCAGCGGGGGAGAAGCUUGCUUUUCCUGCCGGCGAGUGGCGAACGGGUGAGUAAUACAUCGGAACGUGCCCUGUAGUGGGGGAUAACUAGUCGAAAGAUUAGCUAAUACCGCAUACGACCUGAGGGUGAAAGUGGGGGACCGCAAGGCCUCAUGCUAUAGGAGCGACCGAUGUCUGAUUAGCUAGUUGGUGGGGUAAAGGCCUACCAAGGCGACGAUCAGUAGCUGGUCUGAGAGGACGACCAGCCACACUGGGACUGAGACACGGCCCAGACUCCUACGGGAGGCAGCAGUGGGGAAUUUUGGACAAUGGGCGCAAGCCUGAUCCAGCAAUGCCGCGUGCAGGAAGAAGGCCUUCGGGUUGUAAACUGCUUUUGUACGGAGCGAAAAGACUCCCUCUAAUACAGGGGGCUCAUGACGGUACCGUAAGAAUAAGCACCGGCUAACUACGUGCCAGCCGCCGCCGUAA
rnacentral:rRNA from 1 species